AUCCCUUCUCAGCCUUUUGGCUAAGACCAAGUGUAGUAUUAUUUAUUAAUGUGAACUGAAUCUUAUUUCUCCCCAUCCCUA